rnacentral:tRNA from 1 species
GGUUGUGGCUCAGUGGUAGAGUGUUUGCCUCAUACAUGUGAGGCACUGGGUUCAAGUCUCAGCACCA